rnacentral:siRNA from 1 species
GGUGGUUCCGCCAUGGACCUCAAG